rnacentral:lncRNA from 1 species
GCCUAUUACAUGUAAAAGGAAAAUGCCUUCACAGUCAUUACGAAACGCUGUUGCACUGCCGAUGCGACCGCUCACGCCACCCCCGACCUGCUGCACGAGUUUUACCAAGACCCACUGUCUUCUCUACCACCUUCUCCCCCUACCCGCGCUGCUGCGGCCCACACCACCAUUGCCGCAGCCGCAGUCGUUCCAUAGCCACUGUCUCGUUGCUGCAAUUCAAUCUGGCCCCACACCAGGACCCCAGGGCCACCUCAGCGCACCCGGAUAUAUUCCUGUGUAACGACCGAUUACUCUAGCCGUGUCUUACUGUUUAUGACACUAGUGAUCACCAACAGUUUCAGUCACGAGACCAUAUUGGGAAUUUCCGGCGGGGCGGGGUAGGAACUGCGGAGAUGAAACGUGUUCG